rnacentral:rRNA from 1 species
GACGAACGCUGGCGGCGUGCUUAACACAUGCAAGUCGAGGGAGGCCGGGCCUUUCGGGGCUCGAGUCGACCGGCGGACGGGUGAGUAACACGUAAGUGACCUAUCCUGGUGCGGGGGACAACCCGGGGAAACUCGGGCUAAUACCGCAUGGUCGGUUCUGCUGCAUGGCGGGAUCGGGAAAGGUGGCCUCUGAUUCAAGCUACUGUGCCGGGAGGGACUUGCGGGCUAUCAGCUAGUUGGUGGGGUAACGGCCCACCAAGGCGACGACGGCUAGGGGGGUCUGAGAGGACGACCCCCCACAUUGGGACUGAGACACGGCCCAGACUCCUACGGGAGGCAGCAGUGGGGAAUAUUGGGCAAUGGGCGCAAGCCUGACCCAGCGACGCCGCGUGCGGGAUGACGCCUUUCGGGGUGUAAACCGCUGUCACCGGGGACGAACCUCUCAUGUUCGAACAGGGCAUGGGACUGACGGUACCCGGGAAGGAAGCACCGGCUAACUCUGUGCCAGCAGCCGCGGCAAGACAGAGGGUGCGAGCGUUGUUCGGAAUUACUGGGCGUAAAGCGCGCGCAGGCGGCUCUGCAAGUCGGGAGUGAAAUUCCGGGGCUCAACCCCGGAGCUGCUGUCGAACUGCGGAGCUGGAGACCGGUAGAGGUCGGUGGAAUUCCCGGGUGUAGCGGUGGAAUGCGUAGAGAUCGGGAAGAACACCCGUGGCGAAGGCGGCCGACUGGGCCGGUUCUGACGCUGAGGCGCGAAAGCGUGGGGGAGCAAACAGGAUUAGAUACCCUGGUAG